AUACGGAGGGUGCAAGCGUUAAUCGGAAUUACUGGGCGUAAAGCGCGCGUAGGCGGUUUGAUCAGUCGGAUGUGAAAGCCCUGGGCUCAACCUGGGAACUGCAUUCGAUACUGUCAGACUAGAAUAUGGUAGAGGGUAGUGGAAUUCCUGGUGUAGCGGUGAAAUGCGUAGAUAUCAGGAGGAACAUCAGUGGCGAAGGCGGCUACCUGGACCAAUAUUGACGCUGAGGUGCGAAAGCGUGGGGAGCAAACAGGAGUAGAUACCCUUGUAGUCC
rnacentral:rRNA from 1 species